rnacentral:rRNA from 1 species
GUAGGUGGCAAGCGUUGUCCGGAAUUAUUGGGCGUAAAGCGCGCGCAGGUGGUUUCUUAAGUCUGAUGUGAAAGCCCACGGCUCAACCGUGGAGGGUCAUUGGAAACUGGGGAACUUGAGUGCAGAAGAGGAAAGUGGAAUUCCAAGUGUAGCGGUGAAAUGCGUAGAGAUUUGGAGGAACACCAGUGGCGAAGGCGACUUUCUGGUCUGUAACUGACACUGAGGCGCGAAAGCGUGGGGAGCAAACAGGGAUUAGAUACCCUGGUAGUCCACGCCGUAAACGAUGAGUGCUAAGUGUUAGAGGGUUUCCGCCCCUUUAGUGCUGCAGCUAACGCAUUAAGCACUCCGCCUGGGAGUACGGUCGCAAGACUG